rnacentral:tRNA from 1 species
GGGCCCAUAGCUCAGCCGGUAGAGCACCUGACUUUUAAUCAGGGUGUCGCAGGUUCGAAUCCUGCUGGGCUCA